GACAGAGGUCCCGAGCGUAGGCGGAAUCACUGGGCUUAAAGCGUGUGUAGGCGGAUCGUUAAGUGCCUUGUGAAAUCCCACGGCUUAACCGUGGAACUGCUUGGCAUCUGGCGGUCUUGAGCAACCUAGGGGCAAGCGGGAACAAAUGGUGGAGCGGUGAAAUGCGUAGAUAUCGAGAGGAACACCAGUGGCGAAGGCGGCUCACUGGUCCGGUACUGACGCUGAGGUGCGAAAGCGUGGGGAGCAAACAGG
rnacentral:rRNA from 1 species